AGCGGCGCGCCUAACACAUGCAAGUCGAGCGAGAAAGGGCUUCGGCCCCGGUACAGCGGCGCACGGGUGAGUAACACGUAGGUAAUCUUCCCUCGAGCGGGGGAUAACCUUCCGAAAGGAGGGCUAAUACCGCAUAAGACCACGGAGGCGAAAGUCUCUGAGGUCAAAGCCGGCCAAUCCACGGAAGCUGGCACUUGAGGAUGAGCCUGCGGCCCAUCAGCUAGUUGGUAGGGUAAUGGCCUACCAAGGCGUANACGGGUAGCUGGUCUGAGAGGAUGAUCAGCCACACUGGAACUGAGACACGGUCCAGACUCCUACGGGAGGCAGCAGUGGGGAAUCUUGCGCAAUGGGGGCAACCCUGACGCAGCGACGCCGCGUGAGUGAUGAAGGCCUUCGGGUUGUAAAGCUCUGUGGAGGGAAACAAAUAAACCAUGGCCAAUAUCCAUGGUGAUGACGGUNUCCUUUUAGCAAGCACCGGCUAACUCUGU
rnacentral:rRNA from 1 species